AGCGGGAUGGCUGGGUGGUUAAGGCUUUGGACUUACGAUCCAAUGGACUAAUGUCCUUGUGGGUUCAAACCCCACUCCUGGUA